rnacentral:rRNA from 1 species
UACGGGGGGAGCAAGCGUUGUUCGGAUUUACUGGGCGUAAAGGGCGGGUAGGCGGCCACCGCAAGUCGACUGUGAAAUCUCCGGGCUUAACCCGGAAAGGUCAGCCGAUACUGCGGGGCUAGAGUGCAGAGGGGGCAACUGGAAUUCUCGGUGUAGCGGUGAAAUGCGUAGAUAUCGAGAGGAACACCUGCGGCGAAGGCGGGUUGCUGGGCUGACACUGACGCUGAACUGCGAAAGCUAGGGGAGCGAAAAGG